GCUUAUGCGUUGUUGGGUAGGGGAGCGUUCUGUAAGCCUGCGAAGGUGGCCUGUGAGGGUUGCUGGAGGUAUCAGAAGUGCGAAUGCUGACAUAAGUAACGAUAAAGCGGGUGAAAAGCCCGCUCGCCGGAAGACCAAGGGUUCCUGUCCAACGUUAAUCGGGGCAGGGUGAGUCGACCCCUAAGGCGAGGCCGAAAGGCGUAGUCGAUGGGAAACGGGUUAAUAUUCCCGUACUUGGUGUUACUGCGAAGGGGGGACGGAGAAGGCUAUGUUGGCCGGGCGACGGUUGUCCCGGUUUAAGCGUGUAGGCUGGUUUUCCAGGCAAAUCCGGAAAAUCAAGGCUGAGGCGUGAUGACGAGGCACUACGGUGCUGAAGCAACAAAUGCCCUGCUUCCAGGAAAAGCCUCUAAGCAUCAGGUAACAUCAAAUCGUACCCCAAACCGACACAGGUGGUCAGGUAGAGAAUACCAAGGCGCUUGAGAGAACUCGGGUGAAGGAACUAGGCAAAAUGGUGCCGUAACUUCGGGAGAAGGCACGCUGACACGUAGGUGAAGUGAUUUACUCACGGAGCUGAAGUCAGUCGAAGAUACCAGCUGGCUGCAACUGUUUAUUAAAAACACAGCACUGUGCAAACACGAAAGUGGACGUAUACGGUGUGACGCCUGCCCGGUGCCGGAAGGUUAAUUGAUGGGGUCAGCGCAAGCGAAGCUCCUGAUCGAAGCCCCGGUAAACGGCGGCCGUAACUAUAACGGUCCUAAGGUAGCGAAAUUCCUUGUCGGGUAAGUUCCGACCUGCACGAAUGGCGUAAUGAUGGCCAGGCUGUCUCCACCCGAGACUCAGUGAAAUUGAACUCGCUGUGAAGAUGCAGUGUACCCGCGGCAAGACGGAAAGACCCCGUGAACCUUUACUAUAGCUUGACACUGAACAUUGAGCCUUGAUGUGUAGGAUAGGUGGGAGGCUUUGAAGCGUGGACGCCAGUCUGCGUGGAGCCGACCUUGAAAUACCACCCUUUAAUGUUUGAUGUUCUAACGUGGACCCGUUACCCGGGUUGCGGACAGUGUCUGGUGGGUAGUUUGACUGGGGCGGUCUCCUCCUAAAGAGUAACGGAGGAGCACGAAGGUUGGCUAAUCCUGGUCGGACAUCAGGAGGUUAGUGCAAUGGCAUAAGCCAGCUUGACUGCGAGCGUGACGGCGCGAGCAGGUGCGAAAGCAGGUCAUAGUGAUCCGGUGGUUCUGAAUGGAAGGGCCAUCGCUCAACGGAUAAAAGGUACUCCGGGGAUAACAGGCUGAUACCGCCCAAGAGUUCAUAUCGACGGCGGUGUUUGGCACCUCGAUGUCGGCUCAUCACAUCCUGGGGCUGAAGUAGGUCCCAAGGGUAUGGCUGUUCGCCAUUUAAAGUGGUACGCGAGCUGGGUUUAGAACGUCGUGAGACAGUUCGGUCCCUAUCUGCCGUGGGCGCUGGAGAACUGAGGGGGGCUGCUCCUAGUACGAGAGGACCGGAGUGGACGCAUCACUGGUGUUCGGGUUGUCAUGCCAAUGGCACUGCCCGGUAGCUAAAUGCGGAAGAGAUAAGUGCUGAAAGCAUCUAAGCACGAAACUUGCCCCGAGAUGAGUUCUCCCUGAGACUUAAAGUCUCCUGAAGGAA
rnacentral:rRNA from 1 species